rnacentral:lncRNA from 1 species
GGAAGUUCAGAGAAGAACAGUCAAUUAGCUAGGGUCACACUGCUUUCAACCUGAGAAUCUCAGUUCAAAUCCACUUCUGCCACCAAACCACUACUGAGCUGCCUCUCUCCUCAGCAAGGUGUGAAUAAGGGUCUCACUCUGUUGCCCAGGCUGGAGUGUAGUGGCAUGAUCUCAGCUCAUCGCAGCCUCUGUCUCCUGGAUUCAAGCAAUUUUCCUGCCUCAGCCUCCUGAGUAGCUGGGAUUACAGGCGCACACCACCCUGCCUGGCUAUUUUUUAUAUUUUUGGUAGAGACAGGGUUUCAUCAUGUUGGCUAGGCUGGUCUCAAACUCCUGACCUCAAGUGAUUCCCCCACCUCGGCCUCCCAAAGUGCUGGGGUUACAGGCAUGAGCCACUGUGCUUGGCCUAUAUGUAACCUUUAAGAACAAAAUAAAUGAAAAGCAAAUAAUAACAAAGAAUAACAAAACAAGAAAUAAAACCUAGUGUCAGAGAGAGUAAAAACAGAAGUAGUUGGGUCAAUACGAUAUUAAGUGUCUUUGACAUGAUGCAAUGGGAAACAUAUAUGUUGUAUUUAGCCCAAACUGCGUACCGUGAAUCCAUCAGAAAUUCGUACCAUGGAACUGUACCUUUCAUGGAAACAUGCAAGACAGAGGAAUAAGCUAACUGGGUCCAUGAAGCAGCAGCCAGUCAAAUCCACAAGCAAACCACGUCAGAAAAGAGAUCCAUGGACAUCCCUUGCUACACAGAUGGCUGGCAGCUUCCUAUACCUCGCCCAGGCUGAUCCUGCCUCAGACAAAAUCAUGGAAGCAGAUGAAGAUGAGUCUAUCAGCUGCUUUUGUGCCAGAGGAUACUGAGUCACAGGGUUUGGUUCAGUGUGACGUGCCUGCUGGGCUCAACUGCGGUGAAAACCAGACCUGUAAGAAUCAAGCUGACACUACUCUGUCUCCAGGAAGAAGCUCUGAAGUGCAAACACACACACACACACACACACACACGAACACACACUGUGCAGUUUCCUAAUUGAAUCUAAAAUAACUUUCUUAUCUGCAGAACUCAAAGGGCUGAGCCAGCUGCAACUCUCCCAACUGCUGUUUACCACAGACACAGAUGAGGAAUGUCCUUGUUCUCUGAGAAGAGGCUGGCUGAGAGGCAAUCCAUGUGGAGUGGCAACACCGGGGUCAGAUGGCAGGCCAGGCCUGCAGAUAUCAACACACAGCCUCCACCACUGGCUGCCGGUGCAACCCAAGCAGUGGGCAGGGCUCCACCUGCACCCACUGCUGUCCACAGAUCCAUUGGGAAAAAGAAUCAUUUUGAGCCAAUAUCAACGUACUCUUCUGGGAACUUUUACUAUUCAUUCCUUUUGCUAUUUUUAGGGGAAGCAUGCCUGUUAAAAAUAAGUGUUUUCUCUCCAAAAUUCCUCCAUAUUUUCAUAUUAUGAGUGCCCUGUAACAUUUGCAGAGAUAAGCAAGGAGGGAAGGGGGCAAGGAAAAUGCAGCUAUCUUCUUAGAGAUUUUCUGUUUCAAAAGAGCUAAAGCACAUGCAUGGAAGAUUCAUUUGCAUUUCAAUAAACAUUUUCUCUCUGGA